AAGUCGUAACAAGGUUUCCGUAGGUGAACCUGCGGAAGGAUCAUUAGUAUGACCAAUGUAAUUGGCAGACCAACCUAGUUGUUGGCGUCCCUUUUUUUUUUAAACUCCUGUUUUCUCUGAAAUCAGUCUGAACUUGUUUAUUAUUAAACGUUAAAACUUUCAACAACGGAUCUCUUGGUUCUCC
rnacentral:misc_RNA from 1 species